GCAGUGAUGGUUCGGUGGUAGAAUUCUUGCCUCCCAUGCAGGAGACCUGGGUUCGAUUCCCAGCCAAUGAU
rnacentral:tRNA from 1 species